rnacentral:misc_RNA from 1 species
CCUGCUUUUAAAAACAGAAGACCGCGGUAACUUCUUUAAACAAGAAUUUAAAUGCUCGCUAUCAAUGUAUAUGGCUUAUUCGCUAGUUAUAACUUAACAUAUAGAAAAAAAAAAAAAAAAAAAAAAAAAAUAUUUGAGGGCGUAAAAAAAAAAAAAAAAAAAAAAAAAAAAAAAAAAAAAAAAAAAAAAAAAAAAAAAAAAAAAAAAAAAAAAAAAAAGGUUAGGUUAGGUUAGGUUAGGUUAGGUUAGGUUAGGUUCCC